UACGGAGGGGGUUAGCGUUGUUCGGAAUUACUGGGCGUAAAGCGCACGUAGGCGGACUGAUCAGUUAGAGGUGAAAUCCCAGGGCUCAACCCUGGAACUGCCUUUAAUACUGUCAGUCUAGAGAUCGAGAGAGGUGAGUGGAAUUCCAAGUGUAGAGGUGAAAUUCGUAGAUAUUUGGAGGAACACCAGUGGCGAAGGCGGCUCACUGGCUCGAUACUGACGCUGAGGUGCGAAAGCGUGGGGAGCAAACAGG
rnacentral:rRNA from 1 species